GAGGGUAUAGUUCAAAGUGCACAUGUUUAGCAUGCAUGAGGUCCUGGGUUCAAUCCCCAGUACCUCCU
rnacentral:tRNA from 1 species